AACGAUGAAGCCCAGCUUGCUGGGUGGAUUAAUGGCGAACGGGUGAGUAACACGUGAGUAACCUGCCCUUAACUCUGGGAUAAGCCUGGGAAACUGGGUCUAAUACCGGAUAGGAGCGUCCACCGCAUGGUGGGUGUUGGAAAGAUUUAUCGGUUUUGGAUGGACUCGCGGCCUAUCAGCUUGUUGGUGAGGUAAUGGCUCACCAAGGCGACGACGGGUAGCCGGCCUGAGAGGGUGACCGGCCACACUGGGACUGAGACACGGCCCAGACUCCUACGGGAGGCAGCAGUGGGGAAUAUUGCACAAUGGGCGAAAGCCUGAUGCAGCGACGCCGCGUGAGGGAUGACGGCCUUCGGGUUGUAAACCUCUUUCAGUAGGGAAGAAGCGAAAGUGACGGUACCUGCAGAAGAAGCACCGGCUAACUACGUGCCAGCAGCCGCGGUAAUACGUAGGGUGCGAGCGUUAUCCGGAAUUAUUGGGCGUAAAGAGCUCGUAGGCGGUUUGUCGCGUCUGUCGUGAAAGUCCGGGGCUUAACCCCGGAUCUGCGGUGGGUACGGGCAGACUAGAGUGCAGUAGGGGAGACUGGAAUUCCUGGUGUAGCGGUGGAAUGCGCAGAUAUCAGGAGGAACACCGAUGGCGAAGGCAGGUCUCUGGGCUGUAACUGACGCUGAGGAGCGAAAGCAUGGGGAGCGAACAGGAUUAGAUACCCUGGUAGUCCAUGCCGUAAACGUUGGGCACUAGGUGUGGGGACCAUUCCACGGUUUCCGCGCCG
rnacentral:rRNA from 1 species